rnacentral:pre_miRNA from 1 species
CUGUUGAUCAUUUGGCCAAUCCUGCUUACUCGUGAAAGCACUUGGUUAUAUGAUUGACAGCU